UCCGGCUUAUCACCAGCGGUUACCUUAGAGUACCCAACUAAAUGCUGGCAACUAAGGUCGAGGGUUGCGCUCGUUGCGGGACUUAACCCAACACCUCAAGGCACGAGCUGACGACAGCCAUGCAGCAUCUGUGGCCCACCCUCGAAGGCGACUGGCUUUCACCAGCUUGCAGGGCCAUGUCAAACCUGGGUAAGGUUCUGCGCGUUGCGUCGAAUUAAACCACACGCUCCGCUGCUUGUGCGGGCCCCCGUCAAUUCCUUUGAGUUUUAAGCUUGCGCUCGUAGUUCCCAGGCGGGCCACUUCCCGCGUUAGCUAAGGCCCCCAGAGACGGAGAUUCCGCCUCCAAAGGCCGAGUGGCCAUCGUUUACGGCGUGGACUAC
rnacentral:misc_RNA from 1 species